AGUUCGGACAGACCAAGUACGACGUUAACAUGACUUGCGGAGCGACCGCAGACACGACCGUUGGGACAUACAUCGUGAAUGACAAUACCGCUAGCACAACUGUGACCUACGCAAUUACAUCCGGUAAUACCAACAGCGAUUUCACCUUCAAUGCUACCGGCGUGCUAAAGGUAGCAACCGGAAAGACGCUGUCUCAGAAAACCACCGAGAACUACACGAUGGUGCUGUUGGCGACCGAAUCCGG